rnacentral:pre_miRNA from 1 species
AGGAGGAACAGCCCCAGUGACGGGGCCAGCUCUGGAAACCUGGAUUCAGCUCCGGCAGGAACUCCGUCUGCAGGGCCUGGAGGCUCCGGGGCGGG